GACGAACGCUGGCGGCGUGCUUAACACAUGCAAGUCGAACGGAAAGGCCCUGCUCUUGCGGCGCGCUCGAGUGGCGAACGGGUGAGUAAAACGUGUGUAAACUGUACCUGUCUUUGGGAUAACUUCUGGAAAAUCGGGCUCAUAUCGGAUAUGAGCUCUUGCUGCACGGUGGGCGUUGGUAAGAUUCGGCGGUUGUGGAUCGUAUCGCUGCUUAUCCGCUUCUUGGUGGGGUAGUGGAUUUCCAAGGCUAUGAAGGGUACCCGGCCUGGGAGGGUGACCGGCGACAUUGGGACUGAGAGACGGCCCAGACUGCUACGGGAGGCAGCAGUGGGGAAUAUUGCACAAUGGGCGGAAGCCUGAUGCGGCAGCGCCGCGUGCGGGAUGACGGCCUUCGGGUGGUAAACCGCUUUCUCCUGAGACGAGGCGGGAGUGACGGUAAUGGGUAAGAAAGCAACGGCUAACUACGUG
rnacentral:rRNA from 1 species